rnacentral:rRNA from 1 species
CAACCUGCCCUUCAGAGGGGGACAACAGUUGGAAACGACUGCUAAUACCGCAUACGAUCUAAUCUCGGCAUCGAGGAAAGAUGAAAGGUGGCCUCUAUUUAUAAGCUAUCACUGAAGGAGGGGAUUGCGUCUGAUUAGCUAGUUGGAGGGGUAACGGCCCACCAAGGCGAUGAUCAGUAGCCGGUCUGAGAGGAUGAACGGCCACAUUGGGACUGAGACACGGCCCAGACUCCUACGGGAGGCAGCAUG